rnacentral:rRNA from 1 species
GGCGAACGCUGGCGGCGUGCCUAAUACAUGCAAGUCGAGCGGAAAGGCGAUGAGCUUGCUUCUCUGAUGUUAGCGGCGGACGGGAGUGUAACGCGUGGAUAACCUACCUAUAAGACUGGGAUAACUACGGAAAACCGUAGCUAACACCGGAUAAUAUUUUGCACCGCGUGGUUCAAAAGUGAAAGACGGUGUUGCGGUCACUACUCGAUGGAUACGCGCUGCAUUAGCUAGUUGGUAAGGUCAAGGGCUAUCAAGGCAACGAUGCAUAUCCGACGUGCGGGGGUGGUCGGCGACAUGGGAACGGAGACGCGGUCAUUGCGCCUGCGGUACGCAGCAGUAGGCAACCUGACGCAGUGGGCGAAAGUCUGACGGAGCAACGCGGCGUGUGAUGUGGAGGUCCUCGGAGCGUAAAACUCGGUUUUUAGUGAUAAACAUAUUUGUAAUGUACCGUGCACAGCGUGACGGUACCGAAUCAGAAAGCAACGGCUAACUACGUG